GCGUGGGCGAUGAAGGCCUUCGGGUUGUAAAGCCCUUUUCUGUGGGAAGAGAAAAGGACGGUACCACAGGAACAAGUCUCGGCUAACUACGUGCCAGCAGCCGCGGUAAAACGUAGGAGGCGAGCGUUAUCCGGAUUUACUGGGCGUAAAGGGCAAGUAGGCGGUGGGCAAAGUUGGGUGUGAAAUCUCUCGGCUUAACUGAGAGGGAGCGCUCAAAACUAGCCGACUAGAGGGCAGAAGAGGGGGGUGGAACUCCUAGUGUAGCGGUGGAAUGCUC
rnacentral:rRNA from 1 species